rnacentral:lncRNA from 10 species
CUUGGCUGUGUAUGCACAGCCCUGCGGGUGCCUGCCUCCAGGAAAAGAGAAUCAUCUUAUGGAAGCCUGCAGACACCUCCGUAAUCAAGUGAUUAAAGUGAACAUCAUUAGUAAUGGGUCAAAUUGAAAUUGCACGCCAUCUAAUAGGAUGCAAUGAAAUGAAAGAACACAGUAUCGCUUCUGAGAUAUUCCUGCCAAAGAUACAUAACAUAAAUCUCAUUAUGAGGAAACAUCAAACAUGCCCACAUUGAAGAACACUAAAAAAUAACUGACCUGUCAUCGUUAAAAGACUGAGGAGCUGUUCCAAACUAAAGGAGAUCAAAAAGACCUGUCAACUCAAUGCAACAUGUGAUUCUGAACUGGAUCCUUUUGCUAUAAAGGAGGAGGUUAUUGGGAUAAUUGUUGAGACUUGAAUGGGGUCUGAGGAUUAGAUGGUAGUGAUGUUAAUUUACUGCUGUUGGUGGUUGUAUUGUGAUCAUGCAGGAGAAUGCACUUGUUUGUAGGAAAUAUACAAACUAUACAAACUAUGAGGCUUCAGGUUGGCAGUUUUUUGUCAAAUGAUUGAAGAGAAAAUUCUAUUAUACUUGCAACUUUCUUGUAAAUUUGUGAUUGUUUCACAAUUUAAAAAUUAUUACAUAAAAA